rnacentral:lncRNA from 1 species
GGCAUGGAAGCAAUUCAUAAAAACUUGAAAGAGUGGUGUGAGUGUCCUCUGUAAAUGGUGACUCUGGAAAUUAAUCAAAUCUGGAACUCAACUGGAGAAUAUCCUCAGCAAUAUAUCAAUGUUGUCAUAUGGGAAAGAUGGAACAAAUACGAGAUGGACAAAUAUUUGAAGGCCUAACCACAUAACAAUACUAAACAAAAAUCUACUAAGGCUAGUGGAAAUUAGUAUUCAGGUCGAUAUGUGAAAUAAGGAUUGACUGUAACUGCUAAAACAGAAAACACAAUAAAAUACCAGAUUCAAUACUUUCAUAUGCUGAUGGCAGGAUGCUGUUGGAAAAAUCUGCUUAGAUGUUAAAGGAACAAUCGGCUUAGAGUUUUCAUUAUAAAGGAACAAUCGGCUUAGAUGUUAAGAACUUCUAUCUGAAAUAGAAGUACGUGUAAAUUAAUUUAUGAUGGAAAUUAUUACAUCCUAGAACAAAAUUAUAAAUAUGUGAAUAAAAGAAACCAAAAAAGAAAAAUGCAAAAGGGACAAUUGUGAGGGAAAGAAGGUUGAGAAUUUAUGGAAAUUUAAAAAAAAAAAAAAUAUCGAAUACAUCAGAGGACAGACAACAUAAAUGGGGGGCAAUAGUUCCAGCAACUAGACCUCCAAAAUCAACUAAACACUUAAGCCCCAUCACUCAUCACAAAUAGAAGAACUGAUGCACCAAAUGAUACCAAUUUCUUUGCAGACACCGAUUAUCUCUAAAAAACUUCUACAUAAAUUCAACUCGAACGUUUCUUAGCACAUGAUUUCUUUUUCUCUCAGUUAGUAGUAAGCAUACACUGGAUAACUUACUUUUAUGUUGAACUUUUCUUAAUCUGCGAGCGGUAAAAUUCCACAUACAUUCGGACUGACACGGUGAAAGCAAUAGACGAAUAUAGAAAUGGGAUAAAGAGGUAGGAGGGAGGCAACUAGCGGCGAGUGGCAAUGAAACCGGAAGGCAGAAGCCCUCUCAAUGAACAUGUGAGAUCUGGAAAGCCCAAGCCAUAGUAGGGAUGCUGUGAGAGACGAAAUAGGGUUAGGGAUUUGCAAAGAAGGGAAAUGAAGCAUUUGGAUUUCAGCAGGGAUGAGAAAAGAAUGUGGGAAAUGAAAAUUUAAGUGGGAGGGAAAUUGCAUAGAGUUUAG